rnacentral:lncRNA from 1 species
CCUGCCGCCAUCCACGUAGAAUGUGACUUGCUCCUCUUCGCCUUCUGCCAUGAUUCUGAGGCCUCCCAGCCACGUCGAACUACAGAAGAAGGAGAUGCCAGUGACAAGCAAAGUAACUCCCCCACGGCAUGGGAAGAGCCAGCAUCUGCUGCUGUCCAGGAAUACAGUCUCACUGCUGCAGUCAAGGAAGGCCAAAGAAGCCACCGGGGAAAACCAACCCAUCCCGGGGACACUGGAGGCUCACUCCUUCCUCGCUGCAUUCUGA